GUUCCUUGUGAGACACCUGGGGGACUCCAAACACCAGGAAUCCAUCUGCCCACUGGUCCGGAGAGAGGGAUCCUCAGCCUCCUUCCAGGGUUGAUGGCUCAGGAGGCCUUCUCUGCAGGGGACCAGGACACAGGAAAGCCAGGAAGAGGUGAGCUGGGAAGGGAGCUGUUGGGGGCCAUUCUGGUUUUAAAAAUAAAGCAGGACUUUCAUUGCUUGUUAUAAAAGGAACACAUGCUCAUUUUCUGUGAUUUAAGAAAGCGCAGAAAAGUAAAAGGGAAAGAAGAACGUAGCCGCUGCCUAGCACCAGGGAAAAAAGGGCUGUAGUUUUUAGUGUCUGCCUAGACUGUAAAGUUCUAAACUCUAAAACUUGUACAACCCAUUUGUAUUAUUAAAAGAUAAGCCUUGCCAGAGGGACAUUUCUAGCUUGAAUGUGUGCCUGACACCGAUGUGAGCUCCGACAGUGUGCCUUGAACCCUGUGCCAGAUGCUGCAGAGGGCUGCAAAGUAAGGCGAAGGCUCUGCCUGUCUGCCUCACCUCUGGUAAUGAAAGAGGCCACUUCC
rnacentral:lncRNA from 1 species